rfam:Mesorhizobium alhagi CCNWXJ12-2 contig40, whole genome shotgun sequence.
GACGGUCUGCGCCUCGCGGCAGGAGAGACAUAUUCCCCGGGGCCUUAUCGAUCUCAAAGGGAGCUGUCCCUGGGAAGACCCGUGGGUUUUCUCACACGGCGCCCACCUACUUUGUAGGUUCCCGGGAUCGACUUCUCCACCGGUUGCGUGGAUCGUCA